GACGAACGCUGGCGGCGUGCUUAACACAUGCAAGUCGAACGGAAAGGCCCCUUUGGGGGUACUCGAGUGGCGAACGGGUGAGUAACACGUGAGUAACCUGCCCUUGACUUCGGGAUAACUUCAGGAAACUGGGGCUAAUACCGGAUAGGAAUCCUUGCUGCAUGGUGGGGGUGGGAAGGUUCGGCGGUUUUGGGUGGACUCGCGGCUUAUCAGCUUGUUGGUGGGGUAGUGGCUUACCAAGGCUUUGACGGGUAGCCGGCCUGAGAGGGCGACCGGCCACAUUGGGACUGAGAUACGGCCCAGACUCCUACGGGAGGCAGCAGUGGGGAAUAUUGCACAAUGGGCGGAAGCCUGAUGCAGCAACGCCGCGUGCGGGAUGACGGCCUUCGGGUUGUAAACCGCUUUCAGCAGGGGCGAAGCUUGUGGUGACGGUACCUGCAGAAGAAGCACCGGCUAACUACGUG
rnacentral:rRNA from 1 species